rnacentral:rRNA from 1 species
AGUGAACGCUGGCGGCAGGCCUAACACAUGCAAGUCGAGCGGCAGCGCGGGGGCAACCCUGGCGGCGAGCGGCGGACGGGUGAGGAAUUCGUCGGAAUCUGCCUUUUUGUGGGGGAUAACGUAGGGAAACUUACGCUAAUACCGCAUACGUCCUACGGGAGAAAGUGGGGGACCGCAAGGCCUCACGCAGAAAGAUGAGCCGACGACCGAUUAGCUAGUUGGUGGGGUAAAGACCCACCAAGGCGACGAUCGGUAGCUGGUCUGAGAGGAUGAUCAGCCACACUGGGACUGAGACACGGCCCAGACUCCUACGGGAGGCAGCAGUGGGGAAUAUUGGACAAUGGGCGCAAGCCUGAUCCAGCCAUGCCGCGUGUGUGAAGAAGGCCUUCGGGUUGUAAAGCACUUUUGUCCGGAAAGAAAUCCCUGGAGCUAAUACCUUCGGGGGAUGACGGUACCGGAAGAAUAAGCACCGGCUAACUUCGUG